GAUGAAGAACGCAGCGAAAUGCGAUAAGUAAUGUGAAUUGCAGAAUUCAGUGAAUCAUCGAAUCUUUGAACGCAUCUUGCGCUCCUUGGUAUUCUGAGGAGCAUGCCUGGUUGAGUGUCAUUAAAUUCUCAACCGCACUGACUUUGAAUUGGUGUGGCUUGGAUUUGGGGGGAAAAUUGUUGUGGGCUUUUUUGUAUAGUCUGCUCCCCUGAAAUUGAUUAGCGGUACCUUUGUGGAACUGUCUACAGGUGUGAUAAUUAUCUACAUCCUAGACAUCUGCUGGAAUGCUGCUUUCUAAACCUUACUUGUAUUGACAAUCUUGACCUCAAAUCAGGUAGGACUACCCGCUGAACUUAAGCAUAUCAAUAAGCGGAGGA
rnacentral:misc_RNA from 1 species